rnacentral:rRNA from 1 species
CACGUAGGGGCCAAGCGUUGUCCGGAAUUAUUGGGCGUAAAGAGCUCGUAGGCGGUUGGGUAAGUUGGGUGUGAAAACUCUGGGCUCAACCCAGAGCCGCCACCCAAUACUGCUCUGACUUGAGUCCGGUAGGGGAGCGGGGAAUUCCUGGUGUAGCGGUGAAAUGCGCAGAUAUCAGGAGGAACACCGGUGGCGAAGGCGCCGCUCUGGGCCGGUACUGACGAUGAGGAGCGAAAGCGUGGGUAGCAAACAGG